rnacentral:lncRNA from 1 species
UCUCUUUUUGUAUAUACUUUACUCUCUUCUUUCACCAACUCACGAUUCAUACCUCUUCUCCCACCCAAACUUUCUAGGUCUCUGUCAUUAUCACUCCCUGUUUCUUCUCUGUAAAAUCACUGCUUUAGAGUCGAUAUAAGUGCUUAGGGUAAAUUUAAUUCUUAGAUUUUAAUAUCAUUAUUUGGUUUCUCUAAUUUUGAUACAGAUUUUAGUUUGUUUCUGAAACAAUAAUUAUUUAUGCAGACGCAAGGAUGGUGGCGCGUAGGAGUGACGCGUUUGCGGAAGCGGAAGUGACGAAGUGGAAGAUUGUAUUUUGUGGGCAAGAUGAGUGUUGAAGAAUGGAAAGAAUAGACGCCAUUGAGCCACGUAUAUAGGUAGAAUCAAGUGUCAUAGCUACAUGAACAACUUCAAUAGAGCAUAUUAAGUUUUGGGUAUUUUCAAUGGAAGGACAUUCAGGGGAGUUAUAGAAUUUAGGUGCUUCUCUGAACUGUUGUGGGAUUUUUGUAAUGGCGGCAUUGUGUAUUCUGACGGCGGCGGUGGUAGCGGUUGUGGAAUAAAUGAUAAAAAAAGAAAGGAAAUUAAUCGCCAGAAAUUAGGGUUUGUACUUGAACAAAAAUGACGGAUUUUGGGCUGAGAAACUUAAUUUUCUGUUGAUAUAUUUUAAUGUAUUUUCAGCCACAUUGUAUUUUUGUGUAUUUCAUUGUAUUCAUUGUCCUUUUUCAUUGUAAUUCAGUAUAUCUGUUGUAUUUCAUGUAUUUCAUUUUAUUUACUAUCUUUUUUUUCUCAUUGUUAUAUUUCGCUAUAUUAUAUGUAUUUCAUUGUAUUCAUUGUCUCGCUAUAUGCCAUGAAUGUAUUUAUAUACUCCCUCCGGUCCACAAUAAGUGUCUGUUUUACUUUUUUAUUUAACAAGUAUCUACUUAAAUAAUCAAGAAAAUUUUUAAUUUGUUUUUA